rnacentral:rRNA from 1 species
UACGGGGGGAGCAAGCGUUGUUCGGAUUUACUGGGCGUAAAGGGCGCGUAGGCGGUCAGCACAAGUCAGUUGUGAAAUCUCCGGGCUUAACUCGGAAAGGUCAACUGAUACUGUGCGACUAGAGUGCGGAAGGGGCAACUGGAAUUCCCGGUGUAGCGGUGAAAUGCGUAGAUAUCGAGAGGAACACCUGCGGCGAAGGCGGGUUGCUGGGCCGACACUGACGCUGAUGCGCGAAAGCCAGGGGAGCGAACGGG